CUUUCCAGAAGCAGGAAUGUGAAAAAAAAAUGUUCCAAACAAAAGCUAAUCAGCAGAGAAGUGAGCAGCAGCCAGGGAGAGAGAGCGACAACAUUUCUUUACCGCUGAGCAGAAGAAGGAAAGGAUAAUCACACUCUGCAGUGGCUUCGGUGUGGAGAUGCAGUGAGGAGAUAAACACAUCUCCCUCGGGGGAAGGGCCCUUGAUUGGAAUCACUGAUUGGACUCCUGCAGAGGACGCAGAUCAGGACGAGCAAGUGAGAGAACAACUUCCACAGAAAUCCACAGAGACAGACAACUGAACAUCAGGUGCCAUGUCUCCAAGUUCACCACAUCCUCCUGCUCCAUCGACAUCAUCACAAGUUAAACACAGACACCCAGUGGACGUGUCAAGACUCUUUGGUCCCUACUCACAUGGCGAAGAAGACCAAUGUCUAGGCAGCGACCCACAAACACAGAUUGGUCAUGCCACCAUUUUUAUUCAUCCACUUCAAAGGAACCUCGAUCUGGAGCCUAUAUGUCAACCAGGAUGCAGUGGUGAGCUGGUUGGACUGCCGCAGAAAUGUGUGGCAUGCGGAGAAGAAUUUCAUUUUUCCAGUAUCAAAGCUCACAGUGACGAAUGCAUGAGGUAUUGCUCAACAGAGCUGAAGUAUCACAUUUUUAAGCACAUUGCAUGUGUCGGCAUGCCGGUAUGAUAAGAUAAGAUAAUACUUUGUCUAUUUGCACAAAAAUUUGUCUUGCUUCUCCAUCUCACAAUCUGUCAUCCAUCCACAAGCAGGACACAAUAAAAAUAUAAGACAUAAGCAUGAGAUUCUGGCGGUAUGGUAAUCGUAAACAAAAAUAACACGGUUUUGCGGUUACAGCUCUAAAAUGUUAGUCUGAGUAUCAGACUGAAGAUUAAAGAUGUCUACAGGGGUUUUGGUGUGUUGACAUUCGCAUACAAAAUGAACAGUUAGUUGUGCAGGCUGCAUGAAGAGUUCUCACACCGCUGAGAAAGAGUUUAAAGAAUAAGCUAGAUAGGAUGACGAUGAAAAAUAAAAAUAAAAUAGCAUGGUUACAUUUUCAUUUUGUGGUUGCUUGCAGGAACAUGAAAAUAGCUUAAUAUAUGUAUCAUUUAUUGUAGCACGUGCCAAUAUGCUACUGUGUUCCCUUCAUAGAUAAAUACUCUGCUACAGCAGCCAGUGAGCUGGAUGGCCAGAACCCACCAGCAGAGUGGGAGGAGCAAGGUUCCACAUGUGGCGCCUUAUAGAAAAUCAGUAGGCAUGCAGUACAAACUUAAUGGGUUAGUCAUACUGAUAAUAGGUUUGUCUUCUAUCCUUUAAAGUUUGGUGAGGCUAGGACUAAGUCUUUUCAAGAUAUUAAUGCCCAAACAUGGCUUACCAGGUAAGACAUUUUUGAGAGAGUGUAAGAGUUAAGGAGCAGCAAGGGCCAAAACAUAAUAAAAAUAUGAUAUUUUGUAAAACUAGUUGAGAUCAUUAAUAUUCUUCAGAUACCUAAUCAAUUUAUGGUUUCCGCCAAUAUGCCAUAAACUGUUGGGCGCCGGUACAGAGUAGUUCCUGCGCUUCCGUGGGUUAAGCUGAAGGGUGCGCAUCACAACCCCAUGAGGAUCCACACGCCGCAUGGAUUCCUGCACAUGUUGUCCUAUUAAAACAGAACCUAACAGAAUUAGGUGUAUUACAAAACCAAGCUGGCCCUUUCCCAAUCUCUCUGUAAAUUCAUAAGUAGACCAAUUCCAGUCUAAAUUAAAUCAUAUUCUUUUGCACAUUAUCACAGGGCUUAAAGUUCUCCGGCACAGCAACGGAAUACUGGCAUGGCACUGACACAGGAUGCCAGAAGCAGUUUUCAGACCAGCCGCACAGCUCCAUGUCGGCUUACAGCUAGCUCGUACUCUGCAGCGAUUGUUUCUGGUCUAUUUGUUUUUGCGAGCAACGAGCUUAGCAGCGAGCAGCGAGCAGACAGGGCAUCAGACACAGAAACAGCAUAGAGAAAUGUGGAAAGUUUUCAAAAUAAAACACCCUGUGUUAUUCUGCAUUUUGACACCAAGAUUUACUGCAAAAGUAAGCCUGUAUCCGUUCCAAAUAUUGGUUAUCUGUCUCCUUGGUCACUAAUAAUCAGUAAUGGCCCCAGAAAAAAUCCUGAAAGCACUUCAGACACAGAAAUAAAUCCCAAAAACAUUUAAGGCACAAAUUUUUUCCUUGCUUUAAGCCCUGUUGUCAGUAGUAGAUCAGCAAGUAGCUCAAAUCCCAACCUGUUGGUAAAUUAUCCCCAGAUGCUAUAAAUAGGUAAUGACUAAAAUUCCUUACGCUGUAUGCGGAUGCCUUGUGCAUUCAAGUGCCCAACCAUCAUUUUGUAUCCACAGUUGGGAUGGUUCCGCAGAAUCUGGGUCACACCUUUAUCCAGAUCAUUGUCGUCCAAUGGAGUAAGUAGAUUGUGGACUCUGAUAAUAAAAAACAAACAGUUAAUAUGACACAGAUAUAACCACAGUACAACCAAAACCAGUGGUGGAUAGUAACCAAGUACAUUUACUCAAGUACUGUAAUUAAGUACAAAUUUGAGGUACUUAUACUUUACUUGAAUAUUUCCAUUUUAUGCUACUUUAUACUUCCACUCCACUACAUUUCAGAGGGAACUAUUGUACUUUCUACUACACUACAUUUAUUUGACAGUUUUACUUCAUUUUGAGAUGACAAUUCUUCAUACCUUUCCUGUCCAGUGAAAAUCAUAUUAUCUCCAAAUAUGUUGAUUUUGAAUGUUUGUGAUAAAUUGAAGGAUCAACGUGUUUCUUCAUGGGUUUAGAAAAUGCUCCAAACUUCUUAAGCUGAAUGAACUAUUUAAAACCCCUCAUGGCUCAGCUGGAAAAUGCAUCAUCACAAAGUUGAAAACAGCUUGUUGACUUUUUAGAGAUGCACGGUUCUCACAGGACAACAACACUAAGAACAUAUUCACCUCAGUGAAGUGUGUAAAUGUUUGGAAUGAAUAUUCUCUUGUUUUUAACCUUGUGUUUCUUGUGUCUUUGCAACUGUAUCUCAACAUCAUGGUAAAU